GACGAACGCUGGCGGCGGGCUUAACACAUGCAAGUCGAACGGAAAGGCCCUGCUGUUGUGGGGUUCUCGAGUGGCGAACGGGUGGGUAACACGUGAGUAACCUGCCCUUGACUUUGGGAUAACUUCAGGAAACUGGGGCUAAUACCGGAUAGUAGCUCCUGCUGCAUGGUGGGGGUUGGAAAGUUUCGGCGGUUGGGGAUGGACUCGCGGCUUAUCAGCUUGUUGGUGGGGUAGUGGCUUACCAAGGCUUUGACGGGUAGCCGGCCUGAGAGGGUGACCGGCCACAUUGGGACUGAGAUACGGCCCAGACUCCUACGGGAGGCAGCAGUGGGGAAUAUUGCACAAUGGGCGGACGCCUAAGGCAGCAACGCCGCGUGCGGGAUGACGGCCUUCGGGUUGUAAACCGCUUUCGCCUGUGACGAAGCGUGAGUGACGGUAAUGGGUAAAGAAGCACCGGCUAACUACGUG
rnacentral:rRNA from 1 species